UCCAUUUAUCUAGUUCAAGAUUAUGCCUGACAAAACACAAACAGCUGUGAAACUAGUAUACUCUAACAAAUUUGUGGGAAGUGGUACAAUUAAGUCAAGCAAGUUGGACUACCUGUUACAAUGGCAAUAUCUUGGAGAAGAGCUUUCCUCCUUUGCCCAAAAUCGGGUGCUCUGAUGGCAGCAACGUUCAGUAUACCUCGCAGCUUGUUCACAACAAGAGUAGCCAAAGCUUUUCCAGUUACAUCUCCAGCAAUAAUGAGCAGAGGCGCUCGUAAUUCAGUUGACUUCUCCAGGAGGGGCAUAAUAUCCUUGAUUGCUGAAAUCUCCUGAUCUGUAACCAGCACUUGCCAGGUGCUCUGAUCGCAGCAACAUUCAGUACACCUCGCAGCUUGUUCACAACAAGAGUGGCCAAAGCUUCUCCAGUUACGUCUCCAGCAACAAUGAGCAGAGG
rnacentral:lncRNA from 1 species